rnacentral:rRNA from 1 species
AUUGAACGCUGGCGGAAUGCUUUACACAUGCAAGUCGAACGGUAGAGGGGGCAACCCCUCGAGAGUGGCGAACGGGUGAGUAAUAUAUCGGAACGUGCCCAGUCGUGGGGGAUAAAGUAGCGAAAGUUACGCUAAUACCGCAUACGAUCUACGGAUGAAAGCGGGGGACCGGAAGGCCUCGCGCGAUUGGAGCGGCCGAUGUCAGAUUAGGUAGUUGGUGAGGUAAAGGCUAACCAAGCCGACGAUCUGUAGCUGGUCUGAGAGGACGACCAGCCACACUGGGACUGAGACACGGCCCAGACUCCUACGGGAGGCAGCAGUGGGGAAUUUUGGACAAUGGGCGCAAGCCUGAUCCAGCCAUUCCGCGUGCAGGACGAAGGCCUUCGGGUUGUAAACUGCUUUUGUACGGAACGAAAAGGCUCUGGUUAAUACCUGGGGCUCAUGACGGUACCGUAAGAAUAAGCACCGGCUAACUACGUGCCAGCCGCCGCAGUAA